rnacentral:lncRNA from 1 species
GAAAUUCCCAAAGGUGAUUUGGGGAGUGGAUGUAGGAGCAGUGGAAGCUCCGAACCACUAUAAAACCUUGUGUUUGCGAUUGACCUUUCUCAUUCAUCCUUUACUUUAGUGCAUAUAUUUGUGUGUUUUAUUUUUAAUUAGGCGAAAAGUUUUAAAACACCCAAUUCACCCCCCUCUUGGGUGACCAUCUCUGGGCAACACAUAUCAAAUAUCAUCACAAUUAUAGCGAUAUUUUAUCGGUGUGGUAUGAUACAUCUGGUAUUAAGCAAUAUAUGCGAUAUGACGAAUAUGUUAGUUGGUAUGCUUGCAAAUGAUAUAUUGUUUCUUUCCAAAGUUUACUAGAGUUACUUGUAAUGCUGCAGGAUUUAAAUUCUUUUGUUGUCCAUUCAAAUUUUUUGCUGUUCAUUUUUGAUGGAAUCAAAAUGUUUGUAGAAACUAAAGUAGAUCUUAUGUAGGAAAUUAAUUCUGCAAUUUUUUUGUCUUCCAUGUGCAAAGAUUGAUGACAAUCUCCUCUUUCAUAAGCUGAAUGGGAGACUAGAUGGCUGGAAAUGGGGAUGUUCUCUCUAGGGGUAGCAAUGGAUCGGGCCUGUUUGGGAUUGGAUCAGGUCAGCUAAAGAUAAAAACUUAUAAAUAUCUUGACCCAUAUCCAGUCCAACUUGACAUUAGACAAGACCUCUCAACCAUUGCUCACCCAUAAGUUGUUCGUUCACUCAUUUGACGCUAAUAUGAUCAAUUUUACAAGAUCCAAUUCCUCAUAGACCUAGCCUAAUCUAUCAAAUCCAAUCCUUAUAAUUCUCACGACUAUUUUUUAAACUGGUAUUAAGAAAAACCAAUACACAUAAAAUUUUUAUCUAAGAUCAUGUCUCAACCCGACCUAAGUUGUUUGGACUCAAAUAGAACCUUACCCAUCAUGACCCAAAUUGGACCAAAGCUCCUAUUUAAGUUCGGUUUACAAAAUUUGAUCCAUUCGGACUCUAACGGGAAAACCUUCACCCAGACUUGGCCCAAAUAGGGUCAGGUCAGGAUGGGUUCCCAGGACGGAUCAUUUU